AUACGUAGGGUGCAAGCGUUGUCCGGAAUUAUUGGGCGUAAAGAGCUCGUAGGCGGUGUGUCGCGUCUGCCGUGAAAACCUGCGGCUUAACCGUGGGCGUGCGGUGGAUACGGGCACACUUGAGUUCGGUAGGGGAGACUGGAAUUCCUGGUGUAGCGGUGGAAUGCGCAGAUAUCAGGAGGAACACCAGUGGCGAAGGCGGGUCUCUGGGCCGAAACUGACGCUGAGGAGCGAAAGCGUGGGGAGCGAACAGGAUUAGAUACCCUGGUAGUCCACGCCGUAAACGGUGGGCGCUAGGUGUGGGAUGCUGUUCACGUGUCCCGUGCCGUAGCUAACGCAUUAAGCGCCCCGCCUGGGGAGUACGGCCGCAAGGCUAAA
rnacentral:rRNA from 1 species